rnacentral:rRNA from 1 species
GAUGAACGCUGGCGGCGUGCCUAAUACAUGCAAGUCGAGCGAAUGGAUUAAGAGCUUGCUCUUAUGAAGUUAGCGGCGGACGGGUGAGUAACACGUGGGUAACCUGCCCAUAAGACUGGGAUAACUCCGGGAAACCGGGGCUAAUACCGGAUAACAUUUUGAACCGCAUGGUUCGAAAUUGAAAGGCGGCUUCGGCUGUCACUUAUGGAUGGACCCGCGUCGCAUUAGCUAGUUGGUGAGGUAACGGCGCACCAAGGCAACGAUGCGUAGCCGACCUGGGGGAGUGAUCGGCCACACUGGGACUGAGACACGGCCCAGACUCCUACGGGAGGCAGCAGUAGGGAAUCUUCCGCAAUGGACGAAAGUCUGACGGAGCAACGCCGCGUGAGUGAUGAAGGCUUUCGGGUCGUAAAACUCUGUUGUUAGGGGAGAACAAGUGCUAGUUGAAUAAGCUGGCACCUUGACGGUACCUAACCAGAAAGCCACGGCUAACUACAUGCCAGCCGCCGCGGUAA